UCACCGCUUGCGCGGGCAGUUUCUCUAGAGUCCCCGGCCGAACCGCUGGCAACUAGAGAUAGGGGUUGCGCUCGUUAAGGGACUUAACCCGACACCUCACGGCACGAGCUGACGACAACCAUGCAGCACCUUGUAGACCGCUCAAAGAGAAGACCUGUUUCCAGAUCGGUCGCUCUACAUUUAAGCCCUGGUAAGGUUCCUCGCGUAUCAUCGAAUUAAACCACAUGCUCCACCGCUUGUGCGGGCCCCCGUCAAUUCCUUUGAGUUUCAUUCUUGCGAACGUACUCCCCAGGUGGAUUACUUAUCACUUUCGCUUAGCCGCUGACAGUGUAUCGCCAACAGCGAGUAAUCAUCGUUUACAGCGUGGACUAC
rnacentral:misc_RNA from 1 species